rnacentral:lncRNA from 1 species
GACCGAUGAGAAAUAAUAUUAUUGGACGCUGGUGUUCAAUUCAAUACAAGAUGAAAAACAAAAUGAUCUUCGCCAAGUCUGCUCUCAAGAUUAGUCUCGUCUCUGUGUGUGAGUUUUAGUGGAUGCCAAGUUACAAUAUGUACACUUUAGCUUAAUACAGACUUGAUGACCACCCACGGCCACGGGCGGAAUUAGGAUUUUAAAUAUAAUGGGCCAAAAUAUAAAGAAGAAACUUUAGUUUGACUGAUUAUUACACAAAUUUAACAUACCAUAUACUUGUUUGGAGGGCUAUUAAUGUAAAUAUGAGAGUUUUCUUGCAAUAUUUAUAUACGAUGGCAUGUUAUUGUACAUAUGUUUGAAACUAUGGAGGUGACAGAGCCACCUCUUGCCCAUGACUGGCUCCGCCCUUGACCAUUGCCAUCCUUCAACAUCAACCCAGUUCAUUUAACCCUAAUGUGCAGUCAAUAGUCAUUCUCUUUGUUGAAGGUUUUUUUUUUUUUUUUUUUUUUUUUUUUUUUGAGCUCUUUGGCAUGCAAAGUAGCCUACAUAAUACAUAGAAAAUUUGUUGAUAGUGGAUAGAAGUUAUCAAUAAAUAUGGAAGCUAUGGGCCUUUUGAGAUUAUUAUUUUUUUUUUAUACAAACUAUACUCUAUUUUAAUCUAACGUAAAUUAUGGAAGGAAAAUUCAAACUUGAGUGCAGAAUAGGGAGCACAUUUGCUCUAGUCAACUUGACUAAGCCCAUAUCUGCAAGAUAAUUUUUCAAAAAGACUAUGAUGCUCAAAUUAGUAUUCAAAUACUAAAAAAGGAAAUAUGAAGUGUGAUACCUUGAAAAUUAGCUUUUAUGCCCAUGUAUUAUGUAUACAUUUCUUUUCGUCUCCUAUAGGUGGAAUGUUAACUUCUGCUAACUCCUACACAUAGUAGGAUUAACCAUCGUUCUAGCAAUAUCUAAUGUUGGACUUGGAACAACCCUUUGGGAUUAGGGCCGGACCAGAGGCAAGGCAGGCCAUGCCCAUGCCUCAUCUUGUACCACACUCCUUUUGAUCCAACUCAUUUUUCUUGGAAGAGGGGCCUUUUGGGCUCCAAUACAUUUAGC